CGCGGACUAUAAUGCAGUCGAGCGGACAGAAGGGAGCUUGCUCCCGGAUGUUAGCGGCGGACGGGUGAGUAACACGUGGGUAACCUGCCUGUAAGACUGGGAUAACUCCGGGAAACCGGAGCUAAUACCGGAUAGUUCCUUGAACCGCAUGGUUCAAGGAUGAAAGACGGUUUCGGCUGUCACUUACAGAUGGACCCGCGGCGCAUUAGCUAGUUGGUGAGGUAACGGCUCACCAAGGCGACGAUGCGUAGCCGACCUGAGAGGGUGAUCGGCCACACUGGGACUGAGACACGGCCCAGACUCCUACGGGAGGCAGCAGUAGGGAAUCUUCCGCAAUGGACGAAAGUCUGACGGAGCAACGCCGCGUGAGUGAUGAAGGUUUUCGGAUCGUAAAGCUCUGUUGUUAGGGAAGAACAAGUGCAAGAGUAACUGCUUGCACCUUGACGGUACCUAACCAGAAAGCCACGGCUAACUACGUGCCAGCAGCCGCGGUAAUACGUAGGUGGCAAGCGUUGUCCGGAAUUAUUGGGCGUAAAGGGCUCGCAGGCGGUUUCUUAAGUCUGAUGUGAAAGCCCCCGGCUCAACCGGGGAGGGUCAUUGGAAACUGGGAAACUUGAGUGCAGAAGAGGAGAGUGGAAUUCCACGUGUAGCGGUGAAAUGCGUAGAGAUGUGGAGGAACACCAGUGGCGAAGGCGACUCUCUGGUCUGUAACUGACGCUGAGGAGCGAAAGCGUGGGGAGCGAACAGGAUUAGAUACCCUGGUAGUCCACGCCGUAAACGAUGAGUGCUAAGUGUUAGGGGGUUUCCGCCCCUUAGUGCUGCAGCUAACGCAUUAAGCACUCCGCCUGGGGAGUACGGUCGCAAGACUGAAACUCAAAGGAAUUGACGGGGGCCCGCACAAGCGGUGGAGCAUGUGGUUUAAUUCGAAGCAACGCGAAGAACCUUACCAGGUCUUGACAUCCUCUGACAACCCUAGAGAUAGGGCUUUCCCUUCGGGGACAGAGUGACAGUGGUGCAUGAUGUCGUCAGCUCGUGUCGUGAGAUGUUGGGUAAGUCCGCACGAGC
rnacentral:rRNA from 1 species